UGGGGAAUAUUGGACAAUGGGCGAAAGCCUGAUCCAGCCAUGCCGCGUGAGUGAAGAAGGCCUUCGGGUUGUAAAGCUCUUUCGGCCGGGAAGAAAUCGUGUUCUCUAACACAGGACAUGGAUGACGGUACCGGACUAAGAAGCACCGGCUAACUACGUGCCAGCAGCCGCGGUAAUACGUAGGGUGCGAGCGUUAAUCGGAAUUACUGGGCGUAAAGCGUGCGCAGGCGGUUUUGUAAGACAGAUGUGAAAUCCCCGGGCUUAACCUGGGAACUGCGUAUGUGACUGCAAGGCUGGAGUACGGCAGAGGGGGGUGGAAUUCCACGUGUAGCAGUGAAAUGCGUAGAGAUGUGGAGGAACACCGAUGGCGAAGGCAGCCCCCUGGGCCUGUACUGACGCUCAUGCACGAAAGCGUGGGGAGCAAACA
rnacentral:rRNA from 1 species